UCAUUUAAAAACAUAGUGCCAUUGUCCACUUAAAAAUAAAUAAACAACCCAAACAAAAAAGAACCCAUACCAUUGUAUACCAUUUGCUUGGUCAAAAGGAGCAAUAAAGUAGACAUACAUUGGCUAAUAUACGUAAACACAUUUUUAGUGCAAGAAUAACAAGACCUGUGACUUUACUGUGCUUUCUUGAAAUCACAGUGCACUUUACACAAAUUGCUACACAAUAAUGUUUAACUUCAGGAGUUUAAAGCAAAAUAAGUGCAUACCAAACAAUUUCAUAUAUACAGUCUUGGUAAGUGUGUGUAUAUAUGUGAUCUGUAUGUAUAUACAGAUUGCAUAUUUAUACAGACUACAGCUUCAAUGACUGCGCGUAACUUAAGCACUGUCAUUCACCCUGUGACACAGAAACUGCUGAGACAAUAGGUAACGUGGAGAACAUCUGAACAGCGUUCUGACGGCGCGCAGCGGGCAGCACGACGCACCGCGACGUGAGUGAUGGGGUGGGCCAGCCGUCACAGGACACCAGGCGGCGUCUGUCGUGCCCUGGCUGUUUCCGUGACCUUGGGAAACUCCUCAGCCUGAGCCUCACUCCCUCCUCCAUAAAACGAUUCUCACGAGCGUGAGGUUCAGUCCACAUUUCUAAAGUGCUUGGAAGGUUCCCACUUACUUUGCUGAAACUGCACAUAUUAUGGGGCUGAGGAAGAUGCUGAUCUCUUCUGGUCCUUGUGAGUGUCCUCUCUCUCCUACAGGACAGGCAGAGCGGCUGACUUCACUUACACAAAGGAUGAGGAAAACUGCACCUCACACAUGUGAUUGUGGAUGUUGUACACUCUUUUCUUCAUGACAACGGCAUAUCAUAAAUAAAAUGAAAGCCCAACAGCUGAUGUGAGGCUGUACCAAAGUGAUCUUAAACCAACUCAAACUAUAAUGAAAUAAAAAUGUCAUUGACGUUUGGA